GUCAGAUUCAUUCACCAAACAAGCUGCAUGCAAGGAAGAACAGCAAGAUCCACUCUACAAGUUUCUCCGAACACACCAAUGGGACAGAGAGUACAGGGACAGGUUCAUCCCAGACGUCGAUGUCGAACUGUACCGACCGAUCAUGCAGAAGAUGACUCGGAGGAGCCAACACCAGGACCAAGCCAAACCAAGGAAAAUAAAAAGGGAGAGUCCAAACAAGUGUGAAGAGUGCUUGAAACUCCGCAUGUCAACAUCUCCGCUCGGUGCCACACCCACGAAAUGCCCAAGCAACCAUUUCCACAUCAACACCGUAUGAAAAAAAUAGUCAACAGAAGGAGAUAACGUCCGCAG